rnacentral:rRNA from 1 species
CUGGCUCAGGACGAACGCUGGCGGCGUGCUUAACACAUGCAAGUCGAACGGGAGUAUUGAAGAAGCUUGCUUUAGAGAUACUUUAGUGGCGGACGGGUGAGUAACGCGUGAGGAGCUGUCCUAUGCAGGGGGACAACAGCUGGAAACGGCUGCUAAUACCCCAUAAGCCGAGAGGUAAAAGGAUCAAUCCGGCAGAGGAGGUACUCGCGUCCUAUCAGCUAGUAGGUGAGGUAACGGCUCACCUAGGCGAAGACGGGUAGCCGGCCUGAGAGGGCGAACGGCCACACUGGAACUGAGAUACGGUCCAGACUCCUACGGGAGGCAGCAGUGGGGAAUAUUGGGCAAUGGGGGGAAAAACCCCUGACCCAGCGACGCCGCGUGGGUGAAGAAAUCCUUCGGGAUGUAAAGCCCUGUUGUAUGGGAAGAGCGGAAGACGGUACCAUACGAGGAAGCCCCGGCAAACUACGUGCCAGCAGCCGC